rnacentral:rRNA from 1 species
GAUGAACGCUAGCUACAGGCUUAACACAUGCAAGUCGAGGGGUAACGAGAGGAAAGCUUGCUUUCCUUGUCGACGACCGGCGCACGGGUGAGUAACGCGUAUCCAACCUGCCCCCAACUAGGGAAUAACCUUGCGAAAGUAAGACUAAUACCCUAUAAUUUCCUCAGAUGUCAUCUGACGAGGAAUAAAGAUUUCUCGGUUGUGGUUGGGGAUGCGUCUGAUUAGCUUGUUGGCGGGGUAACGGCCCACCAAGGCAACGAUCAGUAGGGGUUCUGAGAGGAAGGUCCCCCACAUUGGAACUGAGACACGGUCCAAACUCCUACGGGAGGCAGCAGUGAGGAAUAUUGGUCAAUGGGCGGAAGCCUGAACCAGCCAAGUAGCGUGCAGGAUGACGGCCCUAUGGGUUGUAAACUGCUUUUAUACAGGAAUAAAGUUAGCCACGUGUGGUUAUUUGUAGGUACUGUAUGAAUAAGGACCGGCUAAUUCCGUGCCAGCCGCCGCAGUAA